UACGGGGGGAGCAAGCGUUGUUCGGAUUUACUGGGCGUAAAGGGCGCGUAGGCGGUCAGCACAAGUCAGUUGUGAAAUCUCCGGGCUUAACUCGGAAAGGUCAACUGAUACUGUGCGACUAGAGUGCGGAAGGGGCAACUGGAAUUCUUGGUGUAGCGGUGAAAUGCGUAGAGUAUCAAGAGGAACACCUGCGGCGAAGGCGGGUUGCUGGGCCGACACUGACGCUGAGGCGCGAAAGCCAGGGGAGCGAACGGG
rnacentral:rRNA from 1 species